rnacentral:misc_RNA from 1 species
CUCCAAACUCUGCAGACCACCUAAACAACAAAAUAACUAAAAAUUAACAAAGCAUUUAAAUGGAGUGCCACAGAACAGUCACUAAAUGUCUUUAUAGCGUAGUCACGUCCACACUCCACAGUCCACAGUUCCGCAUAUAUCCAUUCUUUGCACAAGUAGUCAUGGAAGCAUAUUUCUUCCUCCAUCCCUAUGUCCUUCCUUCCCUCUUAAACAUCCCUCUCCCAUCACACCCUCUUUAUCACAACCACUUUAUCCCAUUUUAUACUUUACAUGCUCCUCACCAUUUUUUAUCCUCCCACUUCUUCCAUUCUCCCAGUUAGAGCAUCUAAAUCAAACUCUUAAAAGCCAUGCAUGGUAUAAAUGUAGACCAGUAGAAUAUAAAAAAUGAAGUCAUUAUUAAGCAGUCUAAAAUGCUCCCAUGCACAUAUACUCUUCCAGUUAGAGCAUCUAAACCAAACUCUUAAAAU